AAGGACCAAGAGUUGUGGAAGGGGUUCCUGGAUCAUCUCUAUAAAUCUGUUCCAGUCAUCCAGACAGCAGGAUGACUAAAAGUGUUCCUUUCCUGUUGUUGUAAAGGCUGCUGUCUAGUUGAGUUGCUUCACUAGCAAGAACAGUCAGUGUCAUUAAUUUUUUCCCUGUACCGUGUGGGCUGUGGAACAUGGAACCGACUUGAUUGAUCACAUUGCCACUUCAGAACGGGAGCCUUCGGAGGCAGUCCAGUGUUUCUCAAACUCCAGUGUGCUUAAGAAUCUCCUGGGGAUCUUGCUGAAAUGCAGAUACUGAUUCAACCUAUCCACGGAGGAGCCUGAAAUUCUGCGUUUCUAACAAGCUACCAGGUGGUGCUGAAGCUGCAGGUGUAUGAACCACACUUUGAGUGGAAAGGUUUUAGUCCAUGUGAAUGCUGCCUGCACAAAGCCUCUGGAGCCAUUCUAGUUUCAAGUAGACUUCGAAGUUCUGCCUGCCUCUCUGUUUCUGCCAGGAUUUGUGGACACUGUUUCCUUACCGUUUCUGGCCAAGGCCCAUUAUAUAUGAGUACUGUGUGUGUUUUUUCUCCAAAGAUGGGGUCUACUUGCACACUAUAAAGCCCAUAUUUGGGCUUCUUAUAGCGACACAUCCUUUCCUCAGAGUGUGCUAACACAGCUGGUGGUGGAGCCCUAAGUACAAACCUGUUUCAGGAAAGAAAUUCAUCUUGUUAGAGGGAGCCGAGCUACUUACAAGGCAGAUAACGUUCUGCAGCUUGCUGAAUUGAUGGAGAGAGGCACCGGGAUUCAGGCUCACCUAUUUUUCAUUCUUUGAAUGAAGUCUAUCUUCUGAAUUACAUGAGCCACGUGAAGCAGGGAAAGAGAGCAAUGGUUCUGGAAACAAAAAACAGAGUUCUUAUCUUUUAAUACAGAAGAGAAUGCCUCGGGAUAUUAUUAUUUGUGAUUUAUGGAGCACGUAGCAAUAUGACCAGUGUCUCACCAUAGCAGACAGAAGACUCUGACCCUCUGCCUUUGAUGAACUCUUUUAGCUUCCCAGGGGCAAUUUCCCACUGGAGAAUAGCUGCUGCAUUACAGAAUUCUGGCUUAAAAAAUCAUACUGAAUGAGCUGCUAGAAAGCUUGGAUUCUGUUUCCAGUCCUACCACUGGCUCACUCUGACUUUGUCCAAAUUUCUUGAAUCUUCUGACCUGUUGGUAAGUCAGGUUAAUCGCACUUGAUAUCCAUAUUUGCUUGUGAAAUAUCUCGAGAUGUUUGUCAGCUAAAUUAGUCUCAAGCAUUUGUGAAAACUCACUUUUCUUUAAGACAUAUCAGCUUUCACUGACAAGAUCAAACUAUGUCAAUGAAUAAAACCAACUAAACAAACAAAACAGAGUAGAGGACCAGAGCAUCAUUUGUAAGAAAGGAGUGGAAGAGAAGGCAAGUUUCCUUCCUCUCUCUGUCCCUUUCUCCCUUCUGGAUUUUUAAAAACUUUAUUUUGAAAUAAUUUUGGAUUUAUGGAAAAGUUGCAAGAAUAGUAUAAAGAAUUCCUGUAUAAGUUCCACCCAG
ensembl:lncRNA